GUGGGAGGGAGAGAGAGGAAGACAUCCAGGGCCGGGGACACACUGCAACCAAGGGGCUGAAUCUCCGGCAGAGAUUCCCCAGAGUUCUGGGCAGGAGCAAGUUGGCCACUGUCCUUUGUGGCUGCCACUCAGCAAAAACUCUGAGCACCCUUCAAAUCCAAGAUAUCCCCACAGAGUUCCAGUCCAGUCUACCCUUCCUCUGCCAGGCCCCAAGCAUGCAAGUGUGAAGAGGGCCAAAUCUACCCAGAAGGAACUUGGGACUGAGGUGUACAUGCCGGCAGCCAAAGGAAAUGGCGCACCACCUUCCCCUCUGAAAACCUGAGGCCUCUCGGAUCUUAUUCCAGUUGGACUUUCCCGAAGAGGGCACGGUUAGGCACCUCAGAGAGGAAAUCACCUUGGUUAAGAUAAAAAUUCUUGACUUGUGGUUCAGAAGCUAAAAUCAUUCCAAGAAGAAAUCAAAGAACUGAAAUACCUAUUUUCCCUAC